ACAAGUAUUUGACAGAAGGAAUGAACUUGAAAAAGAUACCUGUGCUGCUGGAUCUUUGAUUGCUAAGACCUGUAAUGAAGAAGAAGAAGAAAUGAGAGAAGACUGCAUAGGACAGGUCUCAACUACUUCAUCUGUAAAACAGAGAUAAUUCUACAUACCCCACAGGAUUUUUGUGAAGCUCUACUGUAACCAUGAAAUCGGAGAUGGUGGUUCUCUCAAAAUGGUUCACUUCGGUUUGGUAUAAAUAAUAAGAAACUUGUUUUUUAUUUUAAAAAACCACGAAUUUUUCACAUCUAAAAUUUUUCAUGGACUUAUAUAGAUUAAAAUCUCCCUAUAUGAAUUAAAAAGACAAGAGAUA